GGGUGGGAUCAUACUAGAGUUAAUGCACCAAAUCCCAUCAGAACUAUGAAGUUAAGCGCGCUUGGUCUAUAGUAGUACUGGGAUGGGUGACCUCUUGGGAAGUCCUAGUGUUGCACCUU
rnacentral:rRNA from 1 species